CUACGGACGACGCCGCCGCGUCUCGCCGCCGAAGUCCGAUCGUUCCUCCUUCCUCGCGGAGGUGGUUCGAGUCGGUUUCGAGCGCGCGAGUCGCGGUGUACGCGCGUACGUGUGCCUGGGCGUUUCGCGCGACUGCGGGCGUUCGUUUUUUUUAACGAUCGCCCCAAAGCGCGUCGCCUCAAGUCUUGAAAGAGAUUCGGAACGCUCUGAGUUCCUCUCGAAACGCCGAUCAUCUGACGGUGUCUCUCUUGGCUCGGUAACCUGUGGUGCAGCGAAACGGCGAAGGAGUUUUGGACGCUCCGGCCUCGACCGCCUUUGUUUGGGGCGGCGACGCUCGCGACCAAAAAGUUCUCUUCAAAACCGUGAAGCGAAAAAGGCAUCCCGCAACGCGAUUUUCGCGCGCGGACCGGCCGAGCGCGAGCGCUUGAUUCGGACGUUGUGUCGCACAUGUUAAGGAGUGAAAACGGUGUCGAGCUCUUCCCCUAAACCUUUCGAACGCUAGGGGCGAGAAGCUUUUCACGUCGGAUCUCUUGUGUGCGGCGACGUUUCCGGAGAUGCUCGCGGCUCGAUCGCCGUAGAUCCGAUUGAAACGCGCAGAAUUCGCAGCGGAGUUGUCGUGUUUUUUCGCUCUCACAACUUCGAACGCGAAGACGGACUUUUGCGAUCGCCACGAGUAGCAUAACAAGCACGCUUUUUUUUGAAAAACCCGAGUUAAAACGCGCGAGAGAGCCCGUAAGGAAGACGGCAAACCGCAGAGGAGCGUCGAACGCUGCGGGCGUUCCGAAC
rnacentral:misc_RNA from 1 species